AACGAACGCUGGCGGCAUGCCUAACACAUGCAAGUCGAACGAGACCUUCGGGUCUAGUGUCGCACGGGUGCGUAACGCGUGGGAAUCUGCCCUUCGGUUGGGGAUAACUGCGAGAAAUUUCAGCUAAUACCUUAUAAUGUCUUCGGACCAAAGAUGUAUCGCCGAGGGUUGAGCCCGCGUAGGAUUAGGUAGUUGGUGAGGUAAUGGCCUACCAAGCCGCCGAUCCUUAGCUGGUCUGAGAGGAUGAUCAGCCACACUGUGACUGAGACAAGGACCAGACUCCUAGGGGAGGCAGCAGGGGGGAAUAUUGGACGAUGGGCGAGAGCAUGAUGCAGCCAGGCCGCGAGAGUGAUGAAGGCGUUAGGGUUGUAAAGCUCUUUUACCCGGGAUGAUAAUGACAGUACCGGGAGAAUAAGCGCCGGCUAACUACGUG
rnacentral:rRNA from 1 species